rnacentral:tRNA from 1 species
GAGUUUGUAGCUCAAUCGGUUAAGAGCAUGCGCCUGAUAAGUGCAAGGAUAUUAGUUCAAGCCUAAUUGAACUCA